CUUGGGGACUUCUUCGUAUACCAGUCAGACCUGUGUAGUUGUCAUUGCAGUCAGAACUCAACAUGGACAUGAGGGUCUGUGCUCAGUUUCUUGGGCUCCUGUUGCUCUGGUUUCCAGAUGCCAGUUGUGAAAUCCAGAUGACCCAGUCUCCAUCCUCCCUGCAUGCAUCUCUGGGAGACAAAAUCACCAUCGGAUGCAGGGCAACUGAGGGUAUUAGCAAUUAUUUAAACUGGUAUCAGCAGAAACCAGAUGGAACUAUUAAACGCCUGAUCUACUACACAUCCAGUUUACAAUCUGGUGUCCCAUCAAGGUUCAGUGGCAGUGGGUCUGGUACAGAUUAUUCUCUCACCAUCAGCAGCCUGGAAUCUGAAGAUGUUGCAACAUAUUUCUGUCUGCAGUAUUAUAAUUCUCCCACAGUGAUACAAGACAUAACAUAA